rnacentral:lncRNA from 1 species
UUGUGCACAAAGGAAGCAUCUGAUGAAAGGCCAACAAUGAGUAUGGUGGUUGCACAACUAAAGGAUGCCUUGGCAUUGGAAGAAGCCCGUAAUGUGAGUAUCAGCGAUAUUAGCCAAAAGGGUGCCAAUCUUGGCUUGUCGUUCAACUCGAUGCCAUCAGCAAGAUGAAAGAGCAUGCUCAAGUGGUUAAGUAUGUCACAUAGUUAAACUUUCUUAUUGAGUGUAUUAACUAUUGUAAUAAGCAUGGAGUUGUGUCUUCCUUCUGGAAUUACAAUUACAUUGCUACUUGAUGAGUUGAGGAAUGUAUCAAUGACUCGAUGAGUUCCUAUCCUGUGCUAAUAUAUGACAUUCUGGACCAGAUCCAAUCAAAGUUCUGAAAUGUUGACUAUCAACAAAUUUUAAAUAUUUAAUUUGAAACAUAAAGAUGGAAUGUGCAUAUUUUUCUUGCAGUAACUUCAUAAUCUCAUACUAGAUUUUAUAAACUUAUCUUAGUAAAAUAUAAUUAUAGCCAAAGUCGUCGCACAUCGAAGAUCAUAAACUAUAUACCGAGACCGAGUACCAAGGUUUUGCUUUGUUGGGUGAUGUGUUAAGAGAACAAUUUAGAAUGAAAUCAGCAAGCAAAGUAGUAUCUCAUUACCAUGAUUCCAGCUUCUGAAAUGAGGAACUAACAUCCUGCGCGUUCUUGCGUGACAACAGAUCUGCCCAAACUGGCAAGCAGAUCCAACGCCAGGAACAAACAACCUGGAAGGAAUUAGUCCGGAUGAAUAAUCCUGCGUUCCAAGGAACAAGUACACGCCCACAAAGAACAUUCAGUACCCAAACAUUUACCUCAAGAACGCUUGACCGUCGUUCGGAUCGUAUUACGGCGGUGGCUGCUCAAAUCUCAAAGGGCGGCGCCUGCGAUGGCGCGGUCGGAGCUCGUACGUGAGCGUGGUCGAUCCAGGAAGUGGGUAGCAUGCGGGGGGAGCAGUGCCGAAGGUGGAACUCGACCGAAGUCGCGCACGCGGUGGCGGCAGCGGCGGCGGCGGCG